rnacentral:rRNA from 1 species
AGGACGAACGCUGGCGGCGUGCUUAACACAUGCAAGUCGAGCGACGCGCUUUCGGGUGACGGAGCGGCGAACGGGUGAGUAACACGUGGGCAACCUGCCCCUAGCUCUGGGACAACUCAGGGAAACCGGGGCUAAUACCGGAUACGACCUCGGAGGGCAUCUUCUGAGGUGGAAAGUUUUUCGGCUAGGGAUAGGCCCGCGGCCUAUCAGCUUGUUGGUGGGGUCACGGCCCACCAAGGCGACGACGGGUAG